rnacentral:tRNA from 1 species
CAAUAAAAAAAGCCGGAAUAGCUCAGUUGGUAGAGCA